rnacentral:tRNA from 1 species
GGUGGCUCAGUUGUAGAGUGCUUGCCUUGAAUGCAUGAGGCCCUGGGUUCGAAUCCUCAGCACCA